rnacentral:tRNA from 1 species
GCGUCCGGGGCUUGGCCGGCGCCGCGGGCUUCAGGCGCCCGCGAUGGGCGUCAUCACCUGCAGCCAGCUCUGGUUCUGCUUCUGCCGGGCGAGCC